UGGAAUGAGGAAACCAAUCACUCAAGUUCAUCUCAAACCCACCAUAGUUGUUGUUGAGUAUAGUGAUAAGAGAUAUCAACUAAGAUGAGUGGUGGGAAGGGUUGGGUCUUUUUGGCUUUCUUGCUCUUCUUUUUCCUCUUCUCCUCGGAGCUGGCUGCUGCCCGGAAGCUGAUGGUGGCCGGAAACAAUGCAGCGGUCAUACAUGAAGGCCGCACCACUUUCGUCACCCCCCGCACACGAAACCCCAACAAACCCGUUUGCGAUCGCCCAGGUCGUUAUGGUGAUUGCUUCCCACGGCCAACCCCACCCGGAGUCUGCAAUCCUUAUUCACGAAAUUGCCCUCCGCAGAACUGAAGUGGACAUUAAGAUCAAACACCAUGGAAACUAAAUAAACUAACCCACACCUACCUGGGUUUUGAUUACUAUCUAUCUUAUGUGUAUUGAAUCCUAUUUAUAUGGUUAUAAGUUUGGGAGAUUUGUGUUUUAUCUCGAGGUUGCAUGAGUAUAAUUGGAGUAAGAUACGUGAUUAAGUGUUCACAAGCUA